rnacentral:tRNA from 1 species
UCCCUGGUGGCUCAGAGGAUAAAGCAUCAGCCUGCAAUGCAGGAGACCUGGGUUCGAUCCCUGGGUUGGGAA